GAUGAACGCUGGCGGCGUGCCUAAUACAUGCAAGUCGAGCGAAAAGACGAGGCGCUUGCUCCUCUGACGUUAGCGGCGGGCGGGUGUGUAACACGUGGAUAACCUACCUAUAAGACUGGGAUAACUUCGGGAAACCGGAGCUAAUACCGGAUAAUAUAUUGAACCGCAUGGUUCAAUAGUGAAAGACGGUUUUGCUGUCACGUAUAGAUGGAUCCGCGCCGCAUGAGCUGGUUGGUAAGGUAACGGCUUACCAAGGCGACGAUGCGUAGCCGACCUGAGAGAGGGAUCGGCCACACUGGAGCUGAGCCGCGGUCCAGGCUCCUACGGGAGGCAGCAGUAGGGAAUCGGACGCAAUGGGCGAAAGCCUGACGGAGCAACGCGGAGUGAGAUGUGACGGUCUUCGGAUCGUAAAACUCUGUUAUUAGGGAAGAACAAAUGUGUAAGUAACUAUGCACGGCUUGACGGUACCUAAUCAGAAAGCCACGGCUAACUACGUG
rnacentral:rRNA from 1 species